UUGUGUCAGUCACUGGCUGAUUCAGGGAAAUCGGUGCCGACUCCUACCAUAGCCUGAGAUGCUUCGCCUUGUGGUGAAGUUCAGGAAUAUGCAAAGAUUCUACAAGGACUGUUUGUGCCCAGGCUUUGACAACUUGUCACACAAAACUGAGCAUGGAGCACCCUCUGAUUGUAGCGUGGAGCACCCUCCUUCAUACAGAUGGCCCUACCCACGACCCAGUUGGACUUGCAGCACAGGCAUCUGGAAAUGGGAAGCGAGGAAGGCGCCAGGUACUUCUUAACUUCCACAACCAUGCUCCCCGACACACUGGGCACGCCAUCAGGGAAACCGCUGAGAACAACUGGAUCUCAUAUACUUCAAUAGCUUAUUUCCCGAGUGGGUUUUAGCUGUCUAUAUUUAAGAAGCUAAACUUAUCAAUGAACAAACCUUUGAAU